rnacentral:rRNA from 1 species
CCUACGGGCGGCAGCAGUGAGGAAUAUUGGUCAAUGGGCGAGAGCCUGAACCAGCCAAGUCGCGUGAGGGAGUACUGCCCUAUGGGUUGUAAACCUCUUUUGUCGGGGAGCAAAAGCCGGACGUGUCCGGCUGUGAGAGUACCCGAAGAAAAAGCAUCGGCUAACUCCGUGCCAGCAGCCGCGGUAAUACGGAGGAUGCGAGCGUUAUCCGGAUUUAUUGGGUUUAAAGGGUGCGCAGGCGGAUUUUUAAGUCAGCGGUAAAAUCGUGGGGCUCAACCCCAUCCAGCCGUGGAAACUGGGGAUCUAGAGUGUGCGAGAGGUAUGCGGAAUGCGUGGUGUAGCGGUGAAAUGCAUAGAUAUCACGCAGAACCCCGAUUGCGAAGGCAGCAUACCGGUGCACAACUGACGCUCAGGCACGAAAGCGUGGGUAUCGAACAGGAUUAGAUACCCGGGUAGUC